CGUAAAGAGUGCGUAGGCGGGAUCGUAAGUCAGGUGUGAAAUCCUAUGGCUUAACCAUAGAACUGCAUUUGAAACUGCGAUCCUAGAGUGUGGGCACACGUAGGUGGAAUUCUUGGUGUAGGGGUAAAAUCCGUAGAGAUCAAGAGGAAUACUCAUUGCGAAGGCGACCUGCUGGAACAAUACUGACGCUGAUUGCACGAAAGCGUGGGGAGCAAACAGGAUUAGAUACCCUGGUAGUCCACGCCCUAAACGAUGGAUGCUAGUUGUUGGGGGGCUUUGUCCUCCCAGUAAUGCAGCUAACGCCUUAAGCAUCCCGCCUGGGGAGUACGGUCGCAAGAUUAAAACUCAAAGGAAUAGACGGGGACCCGCACAAGCGGUGGAGCAUGUGGUUUAAUUCGAAGAUACACGAAGAACCUUACCUAGGCUUGACAUUGAAGGAAUCUGCUAGAAAUAGCGGAGUGUCUAGCUUGCUAGACCCUGAAAACAGGUGCUGCACGGCUGUCGUCAGCUCGUGUCGUGAGGUGUUGGCUCACGUCCCCGCAACGAGCGCAACCCUCUUUCUUAGUUGCUAACAGGUUAUGCUGAGCUCUCUAAGAAGACUGCCUGCGUAAGCAGGAGGAAGGUGAGGACGACGUCAAGUCAUCAUGGCCCUUACGCCUAGGGCUACACACGUGCUACAAUGGGGUGCACAAAGAGAUGCAAUGCCGCGAGGCUGAGCCAAUCUUAAAAACAUCUCUCAGUUCGGAUUGCAGGCUGCAACUCGCCUGCAUGAAGCUGGAAUCGCUAGUAAUCGCAAAUCAGCCAUGUUGCGGUGAAUACGUUCCCGGGUCUUGUACUCACCGCCCGUCACACCAUGGGAGUUGUGUUUGCCUUAAGUCAGGAUGCUAAAGUAGCUACUGCCCACGGCACACACAGCGA
rnacentral:rRNA from 1 species